UACGUAGGGUGCGAGCGUUAAUCGGAAUUACUGGGCGUAAAGCGUGCGUAGGCGGUUCGCUGUGUCCGAUGUGAAAGCCCCGGGCUUAACCUGGGAAUGGCAUUGGAAACUGGCGGGCUUGAGUGUGGCAGAGGGGGGUGGAAUUCCGCGUGUAGCAGUGAAAUGCGUAGAGAUGCGGAGGAACACCGAUGGCGAAGGCAGCCCCCUGGGUUAACACUGACGCUCAUGCACGAAAGCGUGGGGAGCAAACAGG
rnacentral:rRNA from 1 species